UGUCAAGGUGCGCUGUAGACCAUAACAAAAGGAAAAAAUAAUUUUUAAAUAUUUAACACACUAUGUAUUCAUGUUUUAAAAUGACAACAGGAAGGUGAACAUUACAGCGGAUAACAACUUUUUCCUGAGAACUGAUAAUCAGUAGUGUCCUAUCGGAGAACGUGUGAAACAUUGAAGAGUCAAAUUUACCUGUGUUUGCAGUAUAGGCAAUAGUUUGGUGACAGAUUGCUUACUUUAUAGGUUAAACACAUCAUUUUUCAACGUCAUCAUAGUCUAAAUUUGAAUAGAGAUUAAGAAGUAAAUAAAGGUGCUGAUGUAAUGUUACUACAUAGAAAUGGAAGGUUAAUGAUUGGG